CCUAAGGUAGCGAAAUUCCUUGUCAGGUAAGUUCUGACCCGCACGAAUGGCGUAAUGAUUUGGGCACUGUCUCGACAGCCCGCCCGGCGAAAUUGUAGUACUGGUGAAGAUGCCAGUUACCCGCAACUAGACGGAAAGACCCCAUGGAGCUUUACUGCAGUUUAAUACUGGGAAUCGGUAAUUCAUGUACAGGAUAGGUGGGAGACUGAGAAGCACGGCCGUCAGGUCGUGUGGAGUCACCGGUGGGAUACCACUCUUGGAUUGCUGGUUUCCUAACCUGCGGCCCUGAAUCGGGUCGGGGGACACUGUUAGACGGGCAGUUUGACUGGGGCGGUCGCCUCCAAAAGAGUAACGGAGGCGCUCAAAGGUUCGUUCAGCACGGACGGAAAUCGUGCAUUGAGUGUAAACGCAUAAACGAGCCUAACUGCGAGACCGACGGGUCGAGCAGUAACGAAAGUUGGAGUUAGUGAUCCGGUGGUAUGUGAGUGGAAAUGCCAUCGCUCAACGGAUAAAAGCUACCCUGGGGAUAACAGGCUGAUCUCCCCCAAGAGUCCACAUCGACGGGGAGGUUUGGCACCUCGAUGUCGGCUCAUCGCAUCCUGGGGCUGUAUUCGGUCCCAAGGGUUUGGCUGUUCGCCAAUUAAAGCGGUACGCGAGCUGGGUUCAGAACGUCGUGAGACAGUUCGGUCCCUAUCUGUCGUGGGCGCAGGAUAUUUGAAAGGAGCUGUCCCUAGUACGAGAGGACCGGGAUGGACGCACCUCUGGUGCACCAGUUGUCACGCCAGUGGCACAGCUGGGCAGCUAUGUGCGGAUCGGAUAAACGCUGAAAGCAUCUAAGCGUGAAGCCGGCCUGGAGAUAAGAUAUCCCACUGAGAUAAUCAGGUAAGACCCCUUGAAGACUACAAGGUUGAUAGGCUCAAAGUGUAAGCACGGUGACGUGUUCAGCUAGCGAGUACUAAUCGGUCGAGGGCUUGACCAC
rnacentral:rRNA from 1 species